rnacentral:rRNA from 1 species
GACGAACGCUGGCGGCGUGCUUAACACAUGCAAGUCGAACGGAAAGGCCCUUUCGGGGGUACUCGAGUGGCGAACGGGUGAGUAACACGUGGGUGAUCUGCCCUGCACUUCGGGAUAAGCUUGGGAAACUGGGUCUAAUACCGGAUAGGACUACGGACUGCAUGGUCUGUGGUGGAAAGCUUUUGCGGUGUGGGAUGGGCCCGCGGCCUAUCAGCUUGUUGGUGGGGUGAUGGCCUACCAAGGCGACGACGGGUAGCCGGCCUGAGAGGGUGUCCGGCCACACUGGGACUGAGAUACGGCCCAGACUCCUACGGGAGGCAGCAGUGGGGAAUAUUGCACAAUGGCGCAAGCCUGAUGCAGCGACGCCGCGUGGGGAUGACGGCCUCGG